rnacentral:lncRNA from 7 species
GAGGAAUUCACUCUCCGCCACGAAUCGGGAGACGCUGGGCUCCCGAGGAGCGCACCUCGGGCACUUUCCCCAUUUCCCACGCAGGUGGCAGAACUCAAAGAGGAACAUUCAUUGGUUUCUGGAUUCAGCAGCAGCCUCUACAGUUUCAUUAUUCCUGUUGACAACAGAGAAGUGCAGAUGCCUGGCCUGGGAGCGCUCGUGUAUUGCACCCAAAUUACACAUUCUUGUUCAUAAAGAGUAGAGCAAAGUAUAAAUGUGAAACGUCGUUGCUCAUGUCUCAGGCAACUACUCACAUCUUAAUUGAAAACGAUCCAAUAACAGCAUCCUCUCAGACAAAGCAAUUCCGCCUAUCUCUGCACUCACUGAAGGCUGUCGUGCCACAUGGGCAGCAGAUGGCCUUGGCCAUCACCACCCCAGAGCACACAGAAGGAUACCCAGUGCCGCUUUGGGUUUCCUUUCCCCUCAGGCCCCUCGAGAUGGUCCCAGUAGUGAUGGCAGAGACAUGCUCCUGAUGUCAGGGUCACACUUGCCACUUUCCCUAUCCUGCUUUCACUGCAUCCCAUACACCUCUGCUUUUGUUCUGCUUGGGAGCUGCAGGUCAGUGACACAGUGUUGGUUGGUCAUUCCUCAUCCCUCAGCUGCCCCUUCAAAAUGCAGUUCAGGCUGCCCAGAGAGCUGUGCCCAUCUCUGAAGGCAUUCAACCCAACCCAUUCUAUGAGCCUGUGACUGAGCCACCUCACAUUUGGGACCAAAGCUUCAGAGGCAUGAUACUCAAUGGCCACAGAGAUGCAAAGUGUUUGCAGAGCAGCAAAUAAAGUCUUUCCUGAGCCAACUGUUCCACCUGGACCCCACUACAAAUUAUUGUUUUCAAUUACCACCUGUGUACUCCUUCCCAUGCAACUUAUUGAUGUAAAAUUACAACAACACUGGUAUAAAUAAGUUAUGCUGCGGUUGUAAAAUGGAAGAAAUUUUGUUGUAGCAAUUAUGUUCAGCAAGAUGACAAAAUAAAUUUCCAGUGCUGUGCUUGCAGUAACCUGGGGAAUUUAAACCUCAUAAUUUCCAUUCAUUUCAGAUAAUUUGGAGUAAUUUCUAUAUGUAAUAACUUUGUAAUGAAAAACACAGCGGUACUGAAGUGAUUUCAACUCUUUUUUUUUUUUUUCCUCCUAUGGUAUACAUGGCACGAAAUAAAUAAUAAAAAUAAUAUUUCCUU